GAGCUGUUGAGCCCCUUCAGUUUCUUCUGAAUUCCUUUUACAGCCAAAAGCCAGUUUUCCCCAUGAUCGUACUCCCUUUAUUUUGUACUAUCAUUCUUUUUACAGCUAUGACCAUGAGUUAGUGUUUGGUGUCUCCUUGAAGAACAUGAAUAAAGCGGAGAGGCUGACUUUUGGUGAGUCACUUAUGACCCACGCCAUGACCUUCACUGCUGUCUCAGAGAAGGAUGAUCAGGAUGGUGCUUUCACAAAAUGGAGAGUGGAGAAUUCAUGGGGUGAAGACCAUGGCCACAAAG
rnacentral:sRNA from 1 species